rnacentral:lncRNA from 1 species
UCUUUGGUGAUUUACCUAUCUUGCUCUUUAUAGCUCCCUUCUUUAUGUUCUUCCUCGUAGGUUGUGAGCUUGAAGCAGGCUGAUUACUCUACAUAGUAGACAAACUUGGUGUGGGAUUAGGUUGAGAUCUUGAAGUUGUUGUAGCAUUAACAGUCCCUUGACUUGACUGUGUUGUAGUCUGUAGCUUUGGUGGCCUGGGAUUUGGCUGAAAAGGUAAUCAUUCCAGUUAUCACACACAACCAUUCCAGUUAUCCAAAUGCAUUCCAAUUAAACCCAAUAAUCUAUUAUAUUGUACCUUAACAGGAAUCUGUUGGACAUUAGUUGUAGUCCCUUCAGUGGACUGAUGUAGUCUGGUAGGAAUGUCUGACUAUGUUGACUGUGCAGUUGACUGAUGUUGUUUGUUAGUUGUCUGAAAAUGAAAAUAUGUUAAACUGUUAUAAACCAUGUGUUAAAAAAUACAAUUGAUAGUAUGAAAUGAAAACAUAAAGUAUAUACCUUGUUCAUUCUUGAUUUAGGGAUGAAAAGGCAAUGUACAUGUCUGUUGUUAUGCCCUAGUGUUAAACACCUUGCACAUGUGACAGUGCCACCUUUUCUUGUUCCAGGGUUGAACUGUUUGACAGUAUCCACAUAAUCCAUCAGCCUGUGAUACUGCUCUCCUACAUCACCAUGCAUAUGUUGUAAAGCCUUUCUUUUAGCUUUAUAUAGGGAUGAUUUACUUAGACUAGAGUUACAUUCUUUUUGUGCCUUCUUCUUCCAUGCCUGCAAAUCCUACUUAGGAUUAUCUCUCAAGUCAUGCAUAUAUUUUUUGGCCAAGUAUCUACUGUCACCAAG